UUAGCGGCCAGGUUGAGCCCGGCUAUUCCCACAGGGCACAAUAGGCCAGCUAAUAGCAUUCCUGUAAUGGCAGCAGAAACGCUGUGGACAAACAUUUACGCUCAGUCAGAUUGAGUUUUAAAGAGCCCCUUUUCUCCUCCAGUUCUCGUCCCAUUCACGCAGGUCAGCCGGCUCCUCCCCGGUGUUUUGUGCGAUCGUCAUUCACAACGCUCCAUCACUCAGGGCCUCCAACUCUCCCCCUCUGUCCUCCACUCACUCAGAGGACGGCGCUGACACCGGGCAAAUGAACUCUGGGAUUCCUCAGUGAGGGAAAGUGUUUUCAGAGAGGCUUCGACCCAUGAAGAGAAGACAAAAAAUUCAGGCGAAUGGAAAAAUCGAGAGAAUUCUGCAGUAGAAAGUGUCAAAGUCGUUGUAGUUCGGUAGAAGUUUAAAUGAGCUUUUACAAGACUCUUGAACGGUUUGAUCAUACCUGAGAGACAAACAGUCAAAGCAGCAGAACAAGCGAAAAAUAAGUGAUUUUGUCUUUAAGCAUGGCGUGUGUCGAAGUUGCCUCUAAAACAGGUUGCUCUGGAAUAAUAUAAGCAUGACGGCAAGUCUGAAAAAACACGAACAAUUCUCAAAUUCACAAACAUGAGCUCUAGUUUUGAAUCACAUCUCCUUGGAGCUGCAUUCUUUGUAAAGAUCAUCUGAAUUUGAAUUGACACUGACUCUGAAAGCUUCCUGCAAAAAUCGGUGUCUCUCCCGUGGACACCAGGCAGCAGGGUGGGCUAUGAGCUGAGCGGCUGUUCACCUCCCCUCAGCUUUCUCCAAUGGCAGUAUACCCGCUAACUAAACUAGUCAAUUCAGCCACAUGCAUUAACAACUUCUGGAUGUCAAGCUGAUGUUAAAGUGUUAAAAGCUGCAGUUCCCUGAACGUCCACUAGAGGUUGUCUACACAUGCACACCAACUCAAAAGCAGUAAGAAGCGACUGUGUUUCUAGUUUUGGUCUGAAUAGUUAAUUUCUCUCUGCACACACUGUGUGGGGGGAUUCUCUUGACAACCUUUUCAAGAUCUAAAAAUUUGCAAAAUAAGAGGCGGAGUUAACUUGACUGAGGACAGGCCCACUGUUGCUGUUAGCUCAAAGGUUAAUGGCUCUCCUGGACGCGAAUUUUUUUUUUGUAGGAUAGUAGGGAGAGGUCCCGCCCUUCUUUGUCUCUGAUUGGCUAGGAGUGCUGGGUUAGGGUUAGGGUUAGGAUGUGGAUUAGAGUUAUAAUUAGGAGAUUUAGAAGUGCGAUAAUGUUCUGUUAUGUUCUGUUUGAUGUACAGAGCCGUGAUGACGUUUCCAACUUUUCUAGCUAAUCAGAAACAAAGGAGGUGGGACUUUCCCCUACUGUCCUACAAAAAAAAAAUACUCCACCUCUUUACCUUAUACAAGGUCGACCAAAGCCAAAGAGCUAAAAACCCAAACUCCUUUUGCACUAGGCUCUAUCAUGAUUGAUUUUGCUGUUAAAUUUGGCUUUUUUGCAUAGAUUUGUCAACUUUUGCAGAUAGUCGUAUGUGGCGCCUUUGAGAACUACACUUAGUUAUACACUUUUUGCACUUCGAUCUGUGCUUGGUUGAAAUAUUUAUGGAUGCAAAACAUCAGUCACUAAAGUUUGUUGGUGACAGACGGUAGUUGCUUUGCAAUUUGCAUUGGCUCCCUUAAAAUAGACUAUAUAAACGAAUAAAUACAAAUGCGUUGAAAGAGCCCAACAUCGAACUGAGACUC
rnacentral:lncRNA from 1 species